rnacentral:rRNA from 1 species
AUGAGUGCCUACUUCUCUGACAUGAUUAAGGAUCAUUCCCUAGAUUUCCUUUGUCUUCAGGAGACUAUGAAGAAAAAGUUUCCUCCUAAGAGUCUCAGGAAAAUAGACCCUGCGGCUCAAUUUGAUUGGAAUUGGAUUCCAUCGAUUGGCAAAGCAGGGGGGAUCCUUUGUGGUAUUAAGAAGGAGAACCUAGAAGUUAUAUCUUGGAUUCCUGGUAGAUUUUGUUUGCAAGCCAACCUGUAUGAUGUUAACCUUAAGAUUGUCUGGGCCCUCAUUACUGUAUAUGGAGCAGCCCAUGAUGACAGUAAAGAUGACUUCCUGGUAGAAUUAGCCUCGAUGUGUGCUCACACACAUNNNNNNNNNNNNNNNNNNNNNNNNNNNNNNAUCCUCAUAGAGGCCUGUGAUAAAAACAAAACACUGAAUCGAUCCCCUUAUGUGGACAAAUUCAAAUCCAUCAUAAACUCACUAAACCUUCGUGAGAUUUAUAUGGGGGGUGGCAAAUAUAUGUGGACUAAUAACCAAAAACACCCUACCCUGGAAAAGCUUGAUAGAGUCUUGAUGAGCUUUGAAUGGGAGGAUCUAUUUCCUUUGGUCACGGUUCGUAAAUUGAUGAGGGAUGUUUCCGACCACAAUCCACUCCUUUUGUCCUCGGGAGAGGAGAGACAAAAUAAGAUUCAUUAGCAUGAGUUCAGGUUCGAACUUAGUUGGCUAUGUGACAAAAAAUUUUACCCCACUGCCAAGAAGAUUUGGGAGCAACCU